AGAAUCAACGCUGGCGGCGUGCCUAACACAUGCAAGUCGAACGAGAAAGUGGGAGCAAUCCCACGAGUAAAGUGGCGCACGGGUGAGUAACACGUGACUAACCUACCCUUGAGUGGGGGGAUAACCUAGGGAAACCUGGGCUAAUACCGCAUAAUACCUACGGGUCAAAGGACGCAAUUCGCGUUAAGGAGGGGGUCGCGGCAGAUUAGUUAGUUGGCGGGGUAAUGGCCCACCAAGACAGUGAUCUGUA
rnacentral:rRNA from 1 species